CCACAGGUCGGCGCGCUACGGUGACGACGGCAGCUUUGGAGCGCGCCACACAGCCUUCUCCUCCCACCCUCCGGCCCUGCGCUCAUAUAAGCGUGCUCAAAGGGACCGCAGGGGGGCGCCGGCAAACCGUCGCUGCGACGGAGAGCUUGGUGGUUAGAGUGACGUCGCGCGCCAAAGAGCGGGAGGAAGGGCUGCUCUGUGUGGCAGAGGCUUCUGGGAAACACCCUGCCCGCUCUGCCCUCCGCCCACGGCCCACUAUGCUUUCUGUGCGCCUGCGCCAUGCAGGGAUUUUGGGCUUCCCCUUUGGCGGCCUGGCGGAUUACACCGCGAAAGCUAUAAAAAGGGCUCCUGGAGGCCCGGGCUUGAGAUUUACGAGGCCGUUCGCCUGCAUCAGUAUCGCAGGGUGACGUUUAAAAGCGUGUCCGUACCCUGCGGGUUGUUUGCCCACCUGCCGUACAUUUGCGGGAAGGACGUAGCGUCCGCAGUGUGGGAGCCCAUCUGGCUCCGCUCUUGGAUAUUGACUGGGCGGGACCCUCAUCGCAUCCAGCCCAGGGGAGUACUCGCGAGCACAGGCCCACGCAAGAAAGUUGAACCUGCUCACGACUGAUUUAAAUAGCUCCACUUUGUGGACAGGUAGUGACGGUGUGUGUGUGUGUGUAUAUAUAUAUAUUUUUUUUUUUGCGGUACAGGGGAUUGAACUGAGGACCUUUCGCGUAUGAGGCAGGCGCGGCGCCACUGAGCUAACUCCCCAGCCCGGUGACAAUUUUUGCCAGUCUUCGACACCUGCCCUAGCGGUUCUUCACAGACUUCUUUGUGUUUUGCAAAGGCAUUGGCUUUUUGACCGUAUCAUUUUUCUUGGGGCGAUUUCAGGAACCCCCUGUCUUCUAUUGCUGCUCUCUGCAUCCGCCUCUUUUGAAGUGGUCUUGGCCUUCCCAGAACCUGGGAUGGAGCGCGCCGCCCUGCGGUCCUGGCUACCGGUCUCUGUCGCGUACUACCGCUGCGCGCCCUUUCCGGUCCAUGCCCUCUUCCCUUUCCGAGAUCCUGGGCCCCAGGAUCUUUCCUCCGGAGUUUCCCGACCUCCCUGGCUAUUGACCAUGCUCCUGCCGCUUUCCCGCAGGUUCCCAGACGUAGCUGGUCUAUGUGUUCCCUGCUCCCCGUACCUACCCGAGUCGUCGCUUCGGGGACACCCUCAUCCUGUGUGCCUUGUUAAAUCUUCCAAGUGCCUGUCUUACACUGAGGAUUGGGAUGGUGUCUGCCAGGUUCCUGACAGGGCCGAGCAUUUAAAUACCUGCUUAAGGAACACAAGUGACAACCUCUCUGGGAAUUACACAGAAAAAUUGUGGAGCACACUAAUGAGCUGACAGGUGAACAGGCAGGCACAGCAUAACAAAGACCUCCUAUGACAACAGGAAAAGCAAAAAACUUUCAACUGCCCUACAAGAAGGAACAGGAAAACAAAACUGUGUGCUAUCAGUGUUUUGCAAGCAAGUAAACAGCUGAUGUGAAAAUGUUGAUGUCUAUUAUAAAGCACAAUGCAUACUAAGAAUUUACUACUUAUUUUAUUGUUAUUUUACGUUCCUGUUAACUACACACUGUAUAAAAGAAACUCCUGACAAAACAACAAGACCAGUAAGAUGUCAAGUAUGUCCUACAAAAAGGCCAGGAAACCAAAACACGUGAGCUGUCAUUGUAAGCAAUCUGUGUGUAUGGAAUGCACUGUUGUCUUAUGUGUAGACUACCUUACAUGUGAUUAUUGAAGUAAAGAUUGUAUUUUGGAAAGUGCUAUUGGUAUUUUCAUUGUAGUUCAUAUAAGAAUUUAUUUAUGGUGUUCUAUUUUAGACUUUGUAUACCAAAAAAUAGUUGAUGUUGAAAAUUUUGAUGUUUUUUAUAUGCUCAAUAAAUAUUGAAAAUUCACUACUUUAUUUUUGUGAUUUUU
rnacentral:lncRNA from 1 species